AUUGAACGCUGGCGGCAUGCCUUACACAUGCAAGUCGAACGGCAGCACGGGAGCAAUCCUGGUGGCGAGUGGCGGACGGGUGAGUAAUACAUCGGAACGUGCCCAAUCGUGGGGGAUAACGCAGCGAAAGCUGUGCUAAUACCGCAUACGAUCUACGGAUGAAAGCAGGGGAUCGCAAGACCUUGCGCGAAUGGAGCGGCCGAUGGCAGAUUAGGUAGUUGGUGAGGUAAAGGCUCACCAAGCCGUCGAUCUGUAGCUGGUCUGAGAGGACGACCAGCCAAACUGGGACUGAGACACGGCCCAGACUCCUACGGGAGGCAGCAGUGGGGAAUUUUGGACAAUGGGCGAAAGCCUGAUCCAGCCAUGCCGCGUGCAGGAUGAAGGCCUUCGGGUUGUAAACUGCUUUUGUACGGAACGAAACGGCCUUUUCUAAUAAAGAGGGCUAAUGACGGUACCGUAAGAAUAAGCACCGGCUAACUACGUGCCAGCAGCCGCGGUAAUACGUAGGGUGCAAGCGUUAAUCGGAAUUACUAGGCGUAAAGCGUGCGCAGGCGGUUAUGUAAGACAGUUGUGAAAUCCCCGGGCUCAACCUGGGAACUGCAUCUGUGACUGCAUAGCUAGAGUACGGUAGAGGGGGAUGGAAUUCCGCGUGUAGCAGUGAAAUGCGUAGAUAUGCGGAGGAACACCGAUGGCGAAGGCAAUCCCCUGGACCUGUACUGACGCUCAUGCACGAAAGCGUGGGGAGCAAACAGG
rnacentral:rRNA from 1 species